rnacentral:lncRNA from 1 species
GAUAAUGCCUUCCAUAUCCNCCCCUUGAGUUUUUCCUCCUCACCAAACCAAAAUCCGAUUGGUACGAAAAUAUGGAUGAUGAUGAUUAUUAUUAUGAGGAGGAGGAUGAUGAUGAUGAUGAUGAUGAUGAUGAUGGUGGUGGUGUUGUUUCCUCACUCCUUGACCAAUUUGAUCAACUUUUCAUGAAAACAAAGCCUUCAAAUAAUUCAUGUACAACCCAUGUACAUGAACACGAGCGUGACAGCCCCAAAAGCGAUGAUUAUACUGUGUCUGUGGAUGGUUUAAAUCCAACCCUUCAUCAAGAUCAAGAUCUGCACCCACCAAGAUCUGCAUCAUACUUUGAGUGCAACAUGUGCAUGAAAAUGGCAAGAGAGCCAGUUGUGACUACUUGUGGGCAUUUGUAUUGCAGGCCUUGUUUGUACACUUACAGCUCUCAAAAGGAGGAGUGUCUUGUCUGCAAGAGUAAAGUGUUUAAUUCUUUGAUCACUCCUAUUUACAACUGCAGAGACCUCAAUUCUGGCUUCAAUGUGCCACCAAGACCAAGUUCAAGAGCCCAGCAAGCCAUCUCACGUAUCAAGCAAUGGCAAAAUAAAGAUUUUGCUGUCGAAGAAGGUCAUCAAAUGGUGGGGGAAUUAAUAUACCAUUGGCAAGUCUUGGCUGAAGAGCGUCUCGUUCCUCGAUCUGUUUAUCAUUCUGGACUUGUCUCAGCUCAAGAAUUCAAACAAGCUGCAGAUAAGUGGGAGACAAUGCAUACCUCUAUUGAACAUCUACAGAAAAGCAGAUCUCAGUGUGCUGCUCACCACUUAGAAUUGCAAGGUCUGAGAAACCAAGCUCAAGAGGCAGAGGCUCAGAUUGCUAAACUGCAAACAGACCUCAAAACUAUCAGAAAUAAGGAAAAAGAGGUGCAUCUUCAACUUCAAACCAAUCUCAAAAAAUCCUGGGAGCUGCAAAAACAGAUCACCACCACUGCUCAACCCAGAUUAGAAAAAUCGCAUGUUACUAUCUUGAAGGGUUCAACACUCCGGGCAGAUAUGGAUGUCAAAUUUAAAUUCCUCAAAGUCAUCUUGACUAGUCUCGUACUGUAA